UAGAAAAAUAUUACAGCCUGCACCCAAAC
rnacentral:piRNA from 1 species